rnacentral:rRNA from 1 species
GACGAACGCUGGCGGCGUGCUUAACACAUGCAAGUCGAACGCUGAAGCUCAGCUUGCUGGGUGGAUGAGUGGCGAACGGGUGAGUAACACGUGAGUAACCUGCCCUCUUCUUUGGGAUAACGCCCGGAAACGGGUGCUAAUACUGGAUAUUCACUGAUUCUCGCAUGGGGGUUGGUGGAAAGGUUUUUUCUGGUGGGGGAUGGGCUCGCGGCCUAUCAGCUUGUUGGUGGGGUGAUGGCCUACCAAGGCUUUGACGGGUAGCCGGCCUGAGAGGGUGACCGGUCACAUUGGGACUGAGAGACGGCCCAGACGCCUACGGGAGGCAGCAGUGGGGAAUAGUGCACAAUGGGCGAAAGCCUGAUGCAGCGACGCCGCGUGAGGGAUGGAGGCCUUCGGGUUGUAAACCUCUUUCGCUCAUGGUCAAGCCGCAGCGUUGGGUUGUGGUGAGGGUAGUGGGUAAAGAAGCGCCGGCUAACUACGUG